CCUGGAAGCAAAGGAGCAGAAUCCACUUUACCGCAUUCCUUUGGUUUAAUUUCUCCAGUCUCCAGAAUGGGCUCUCUCCUGGCUUUAUAAAAGUGGCUCCAUUUUAAGGUCUCUGCGGUGCAAACCACACAACAUGGACCUCCUCCCAAAGGGCAGGUAUCCAGUCAGGUGGAGGGACCAAAACUGGAGCAGCUGGCUCUGGCACUUGGAAGCAGGACCUUCAGAGACAGAACCACCAGAAAAGAAGGUUUGGAUCACUCUACCUGAUAAAGAGAUGCUUGCUGAAGGCAGAGGGAGGAGGAAAUGAGUAGGAAAGCAAGACCAUUCAUCCCAACGCAGCCUCGUGAAGAGUUCACAGACAUGAGGUCUGCAACUCAAUCUGUGUUCCCCGUGUGAAUGUUACAGGUCAAACCUGGAUCAUGAGGAGGGAGUUGUCAAACUAGCCUGGAGCAUAUGUUUAGAGCAAGGAACUGGAUUGCGGAAGAAUUUGGAAACCAUUCGGUGAACAAAAGAUGAAGAUGAACUAACUGGUGAUGUUUUAUGUAGAGAAAGAAGAAGAUUCGGGGCAUGUCCUGUCGUUAUUUUCCAGUAUUUGAGGCCUAGGAAAGCAGAGGAAAUGUAUUUUGUCAUCCCGAGGAAAUAGAAUGAAACCAGCAGGUGAAACCUCCGUGAAGGAAAAUUUUGUCUGAUUUUAAAGAACUUUCUAGCAGUCACAGCUGUUCAAAGAAAGAGCUGCUACCGGAGGUGGUGAGCAUCCUGUCUCUCAAAACUUAAAUAUAGAUCAUUUGGGAUUGAAAAAGACAUUCAGCACUGGACGUGUAUUUGUACUAAGAGGCAAAAAGACCCCUGCGCUUCUUUCAUAGAAGUCAGUGAGGCUGUGCGGGUUCCUCUUCAUUCGCCUCCGCAUUCACAUCCACUCUCCGUCCUGCUCUGUCCUGGAAAGCUAGCUUUGGUGGAUGACAUCAUCGGGCUCCCGGGAUCUCUGGAGUUCAUUCACGCUUGGCCACCGGACAGUUCAGAGAAGUGAUCCGGGACGGGAGGGGGCGGGGAGAGUGAAGAGGCUGUCCCCGUGGAGCCGAAGGGUUCUGGCAGUCCUUCCACCUCUCCGCUUAGCCUGCAGGGAGGCCCCGUGCCUUUGGCUCCAUCAACCAGACAGCGACGUCAGAGCAUUCGCCCUCCCUCACCCCUGCUCCCUCGAGCCCAGGGAUGCUGACGGCUUCUCAAUGAAGCCAGUCACACAACACCUGCCACACCCUCAGCGGAGUCUCGGAAUUCCUAUGAGUUUUUAAGAGUUCCUCCCAUCAAGAUGUAGUGGUUAUUUGCCUUCUUCCCUCAAACCGGGUCCAGCUGGGCCUGUCGGGGUGACCAACAGGAAGUAAGAGAAAUCAAUGCACAGGACCUCAAGAGUCUUAGGGCUCCCCUGCUCACUGUCGGGACACCUGACCCAAGCGAGCUGUAGAGCCUGCUGGGCUGAAAGAGCCCGUUGAAAGAGGGCCCAGCAUCUCAGUCAAGCUGACCCCAGACUGGCCAGCCAAUGCACCCAUCAGCUGAGAGCAGCUGCUUGGGUCACCAGGCACAGACCCGCAGAAGAACCACCAAGGCAACCCACAGAAAAACCAGGCAUGGUUGUUGUUCUAAUUCCCAAAUAUGGAGGGAGCUUUGUUAUUCAGUGAAAAGAUAACUGAGCCAACUCUGGCUCAGUGAUCCAGAAUUAUCUCCAAGUGUGCUGCCCGGUUCUCGCUGUGACCCAGACUGGCACAAAGUUCUGUGGAAGGAACCUGGCUGUGGCCUUGGAGGCGUUUCUCCACUCUCUCCACUUUGACCCUGCCAAGGUAAGGAAAGGCUCCUUUCUGAGGUCCCCUGGCCACUUCUUCCUACCAGGGGGAAGUAGAGGGCCGCCCUAGUGGGCCAGACCCUUCUCCAGUCACAGCGUCAGCAAGGUGGCCAAGCCGAUGUCUUAUUUUCCUCCCGAAGAGAGCCAAAAAAGUGGAGUGUAUGGUCUUAGACCUUGUUUAGAAGGAAGGUCCCUGACUUCUCUUCUGACCUAAUUUCAAAAAUUGUGGAAGUUCUAGUCUAUGGGAAUAAGUGGAAACAAUUUGGGCCUCGAUAUAAAACGUGAGACAGAAAAUAUCCUUCCUAUUUUUUUGUUCCUCCACUUAGUUCUGGAAAUAACAGCAACUGACUUUUGAAUUUUUCCUGGUAAUUCCUUUUUAAAAGUAUUAGGAAAAUACUGGAAAGGACAAUUGUGUAAGUCAUAUAAAUGUCAGAGAUGUAAAUAAAAAGUGGUGUUUUUCCUCUUCACUCUCCCUCUCCCCAGAAAUGAUGAAUGUUAAUGAUUUAGUAUGUAUAUUUCCUGACUUUGGCCCAUACCAAUGUUGCAUUUUCAUUUUUUUUUUUUCAUGUCAUGGUGGUGAUAUGAGUGGUUCUAAGGCCAAAGACUCAUGUUACAACAAAGAAGCGUUAUAAGUGAGGAAUCUUGGUUGUUUGAAUAUCUUGAGAGUUACUUAUAUUCCAAAUGAAUAUGACUAACUUUAAAGUUUUGGAGACAAUAAAUGCAACCAAAAGUAAAACUAGACCACUCAUCAUUGGC